rnacentral:rRNA from 1 species
CAGAGUGAACGCUGGCGGUAGGCCUAACACAUGCAAGUCGAACGGCAGCACAGUAAGAGCUUGCUCUUAUGGGUGGCGAGUGGCGGACGGGUGAGGAAUACAUCGGAAUCUACCUUUUCGUGGGGGAUAACGUAGGGAAACUUACGCUAAUACCGCAUACGACCUUCGGGUGAAAGCAGGGGACCUUCGGGCCUUGCGCGGAUAGAUGAGCCGAUGUCGGAUUAGCUAGUUGGCGGGGUAAAGGCCCACCAAGGCGACGAUCCGUAGCUGGUCUGAGAGGAUGAUCAGCCACACUGGAACUGAGACACGGUCCAGACUCCUACGGGAGGCAGCAGUGGGGAAUAUUGGACAAUGGGCGCAAGCCUGAUCCAGCCAUACCGCGUGGGUGAAGAAGGCCUUCGGGUUGUAAAGCCCUUUUGUUGGGAAAGAAAAGCAGUCGAUUAAUACUCGGUUGUUCUGACGGUACCCAAAGAAUAAGCACCGGCUAACUUCGUGCCAGCAGCCGCGGUAAUACGAAGGGUGCAAGCGUUACUCGGAAUUACUGGGCGUAAAGCGUGCGUAGGUGGUUGUUUAAGUCUGUUGUGAAAGCCCUGGGCUCAACCUGGGAAUUGCAGUGGAUACUGGACGACUAGAGUGUGGUAGAGGGUAGUGGAAUUCCCGGUGUAGCAGUGAAAUGCGUAGAGAUCGGGAGGAACAUCCAUGGCGAAGGCAGCUACCUGGACCAACAC